CAAACUCAGUUUGCAGGAAGGAGCAUAGGAGAAUAAAGGAUGGAACAAAGAAGAAAAAGAACAGCAAGUUACUCUGAGUAUUGUGGAAACAAACUGAAAUUAGAGUGAGAGAGAGAGAGAAAAAAAAAGAAGGUCCGAGCAAUCUCAGAUAUAUGAGAGGCCAAGAUGGGAAGAUCACUUGGGUAAGACUGGGAAGAUUGAGUCUGCAGUGAGUCACAGUCGCAUCAUUCUGCUGGAUUUGAAUGGUACUGCUUCUGGCCCAAGUUGUCUGGGCAACCUUAGACAUGGCUGGAAACACUCUUUUUGUAGAACAUACAAAUGGACAUUUCUAAGCACAUUGAGGCCUAUAAUGAAAAAUCAAAUAUCCCACAAUGAAAACUAGAAGGAAGCUAUCUGUGAUAAUGCUUUGUGGUGUAUGGAUUCAUCUCACUGACUGAAACCUGAGUUUUGAUUCACCAGGUUAAAAACACUAUUUUUGUAGACUCUACGAAGAAACAUUUCUGAAACCAUUGAAACCUAUGGGGGAAAAAAACCCCCGAAAUUCCUGUGAUAAGAAAUGGAAAGCAGCUAUCUGUGAAAAUGCUUUGUAAUGUGUGGAUUCUUCUCACAGA
rnacentral:lncRNA from 10 species